CAGUUAUCGUUUAUUAGAUAGUACCUUACUACAUGGAUAACCGUGGUAAUUCUAGAGCUAAUACAUGCUAAAAGCCUCGACUUCGGGAGAGGCGUAUUUAUUAGAUAAAAAACCAAUGCCCUUCGGGGCUACAAGGUGAUUCAUAAUAACUUAACGAAUCGCAUGGCCUUGCGCCGGCGAUGUUUCUUUCAAAUUUCUGCCCUAUCAACUUUCGAUGGUUGUGUCUUGGACAACCAUGGUUUCUACGGGUAGAUUGCCCGUAACACCUGUCGGAGCCGCUCCCCCGGGUCCUCUGGGGCCCCAGCUCCGGCGACACCGCUGGUUCGGAUAACGCCACACAGGCGAAGUCCGGGGCGAGCCUUUGGGGCCGUCCAAACGUAUGCAUAGCGGUGGGCCUCGUUCAUUGCAGGCUUUAGGAUCAUCCUGCCGCCCCGGCCGUCGCCGGGGCGACCUCGCGAACGGGGAAUUAGGGUUCUAUUCCGGAGAGGGAGCCUGAGAAACGGCUACCACAUCCAAGGAAGGCAGCAGGCGCGCAAAUUACCCAAUCCCGACACGGGGAGGUACGUCUACAACAUCUCUGGAAUAUAGGGGAAGGCUUGCUAACAGGCUUUUUAGGUAGUAACAAUAAAUACUGAUACAGUGCCCUUUCGGGUAUUGUAAUUGGAAUGAGAAAAAUUUAAAUCCCUUAACGAGGAACAAUUGGAGGGCAAGUCUGGUGCCAGCAGCCGCGGUAAUUCCAGCUCCAAUAGCGUAUAUUAAAGUUGUUGCAGUUAAAAAGCUCGUAGUUGAAACUUGGGCCUGGCUGUCCGGUCCGCCUCACCGCGUGCACUGGCUCGGCCGGGCCUUUCCUUCUGGGGAGCCGCAUGCCCUUUAUUGGGUGUGUCGGGGAUCCAGGACUUUUACUUUGAAAAAAUUAGAGUGUUCAAAGCAGGCCUAUGCUCGAAUACAUUAGCAUGGAAUAAUAGAAUAGGACGUGUGGUUCUAUUUUGUUGGUUUCUAGGACCGCCGUAAUGAUU
rnacentral:rRNA from 1 species